UUCGGUUAAAAUAUUCACAUAAGUAAUACGUUUUAUUCUCUGAUCUGCAGAGUGAACGUAAUGAAUGACUUUAAAAGAAAUAAGACUGGAGAGCGAUUCCAAUGGGAAGGAAGGCUGGAAUUUCUCUUUACGACAUUUGGUUACACAGUUGGACUUGGGAACAUUUGGAGGUACUCCUACAGAUGCUACACAAACGGCGGUGGUGCCUUCCUCGUACCAUACUGGAUAACGUUAUUGUUUUGUGCACUGCCUAUGUUGUUUUUGGAAAUGUUUCUUGGUCAAUAUUUCUCCACGGGGCCUAUAACCGUGUGGUCUUUUUCUCCACUAUUUAAAGGACUAGGCUGGGCGAUGCUUUUCGUUACAUUCGUUACGAAUAUUUAUUAUAUCGUGUUAGUCGCUUAUGUGUUUUAUUAUAUGCUGGUUUCGUUUGUGAAUCUAGGAGAGUAUUUACCAUGGCAACGUUGCAAUAUCGACACACCAGAAGACAGGGAUAUAUGCCGUACUCUACCGUACCCAAAUUUUGGAACCAUGACGGAGAAAAACAGAAUCCAAACAUUACUUGGGAUGAUGGACAAAACAUGUAUAGAAACUACACAAGCCCAGAUAAAUGUAUCAGCUAUUAGGGACCUUAGCUUCAAAUCUAUCAAAGCCGAGUUUUCUCAUUGUGAGAUCAAGUUCAUCACGCCAGAGGAACAAUACUGGAAAGGGUUGCUGGACACUCAGGAAUCUAACGACAUCGAAAAUUUAGGACCAGUUGUCGGAAGAAAUGCAAUACUACUGUUUAUUGUUUGGGUCAUAGUGUUCCUAUGUUCUGUAAGAGGAAUUCGGUGCAUUGCAAAGUGGUCGUAUGUCACAGUUACUCUUCCAUCAGCUCUUCUUGUGAUCCUGCUUGUCAGGGGAUUAACGCUGGAAGGAUAUGACGUCGGUUUACACUAUUAUCUCACACCAGAUUGGAGCAGACUUUCUGAUUGGUCACUCUGGGCUAGUGCUGCCACACAAGUAAUGUAUUCUACCGGCAUCGGCGAUGGCGCCCUUAUUUGCCUUGCAAGUUACAACAAAUUCAAAAAUAACAUUUUACGAGACUCAAUAUUACUAGGUCUUGUUAACGCGUUCACCAGCAUGUUAGGCGGACUUGGUUGUAUUUUGUUUUCUUGGCCAUGCUUCGGUUAGGUUGAACAAACCUCUAGAAGAUAUUUUUAACAAAGGUCCGGGACUGAUUUUUAUUUCGUACAUACAAGGUCUGUCCCAGCUGCCUAGUUCCAGUAUGUGGUCUUGUUUAUUCUUUGCAAUGGUUUUUACAUUAGGCCUUGAUUCGGUGUUUGUAAUGUCAUGGGCAAUAUAUGCCUCAAUUGCAGAUGUCUUUCCACGAAUACUGAAGCGAAGGAAAUAAUUUUCGGUAUGAUAUGUUUAAUUUCAUUUCUUCUUGGGCUGCCAAUGGUUACGCGCGGAGGGAUUCAUAUGGUUGUUUUGUUUGACGGAUACAUCGCUGACUAUGCAAUGACAAUAUUUCUACUCGCUGAAACUAUUGCUAUAGUUUGGUUUUACGGAAUUGACAAGUUUCUCUCUGAUGUCGACUCGAUGUUAGGUAACAGUGGCAAAGCUCUACACCUGUACCUACGAGCAAUGUUUGUGGUCACCGUACCUGUGUUUUGUUUGCUGAUCCUUUGCGCUUGUGUUGUUGGUUACACGAAGACGUCCUACGACGGCAUUGAAGUGUCCGCCUCUGGUGAAGCGGUCGGUCUGGUGAUAAGUUGUACACCAAUCGUCAUAUUUCUCUCGUUUAUGGUGUAUCAAAUAGCAGUUGGGUGCAAAAACAGACAACACAUACGCCAAACAAUAAGGAAGCUCACACAAUCUCUAGUUAAACUAAAUGACCAAAACAACCACUCGUUCAAUCCUUAUAUAACGCCAACGAGUGAUUUUCACAAUGAGAAUACAGAACUAUCAAACAUGCAAGACGAUAAUGAAAUAUACAUAACUCCUUGCAGCAGUGCGUCGUACGAUGUUGUCAGAUACAACAUCCCAGAGGAGGUGGAACAUUUCUCAACUUUGAAAGAACAUGUGACACCAGAAGUGGAUACGUCAACGGACAGAUCACAUGCAACGGUCGAAAAGUCGACUGUUUCUCCUUGGGAUUCCAACACGGACAUUCAUUACCAGCAAUAUACAGUAUGAUAUUUUAAGAGAUGCCGGCGAAUCUCUUCCAAGAAUGUACAUUUUGAACGCCAUCAGACGUUUAUGUACUGAUUAUAUAGUGGUACAUAGCUUGAAGUUCCAUAAGGCUUUAAUUUUUGGUUAAAAACAGAUGAAACAACUGUCUAAAUAGAUGUUAUACAUAAUUACAUGGUUAGAUAAACGCUACUUCCAAUUCUGCACAUGAAAUUUUACAGAGAGCCAUAAAGGGAGGUAAUAAAAUACAAUAAAUUCAAUAAAACUUUCUACUGUGUUCAUCAAUAUUCAAAGCUUUGACAAGUAUAAGAGAAAACAAAUAUUGGAAAUAAAAGAACAAGAAAUUAAAUAUAUUUUAUGUUCAUAACGAUUAAGGUGGCAGCCACUUUUUAAGCAAAGGUAUUAUGAGACUUUAAGUAACGGUGCUCUGUGAUGUAGCUUUAUGGUUGUAGGACUGCAUUUUUUAAUGAAAAUAAUAUACUAAUCCCCAAUGAUAACGAGAUUCCCGCCGA
rnacentral:misc_RNA from 1 species